rnacentral:rRNA from 1 species
UACGAAGGGGGCUAGCGUUGCUCGGAAUCACUGGGCGUAAAGGGUGCGUAGGCGGGUCAUUAAGUCAGGGGUGAAAUCCUGGAGCUCAACUCCAGAACUGCCUUUGAUACUGAGGAUCUUGAGUUCGGGAGAGGUGAGUGGAACUGCGAGUGUAGAGGUGAAAUUCGUAGAUAUUCGCAAGAACACCAGUGGCGAAGGCGGCUCACUGGCCCGAUACUGACGCUGAGGCACGAAAGCGUGGGGAGCAAACAGG